rnacentral:rRNA from 1 species
AUUGAACGCUGGCGGCAGGCUUAACACAUGCAAGUCGAACGAGUGGCGGACGGGUGAGUAAUGCUUGGGAAUCUAGCUUAUGGAGGGGGAUAACUACGGGAAACUGUAGCUAAUACCGCGUACCAUAGGAUGAGCCCAAGUGGGAUUAGGUAGUUGGUGAGGUAAAGGCUCACCAAGCCGACGAUCUCUAGCUGGUCUGAGAGGAUGACCAGACACACUGGGACUGAAGAACGGCCCAGACUCCUACGGUAGGCAGCAGUGGGGAAUAAUGCGACAUUGGGGCAACCUGACGCAGCCAUGCCGCGUGAAUGAAGAAGGCCCUCGGGUUGUAAAGUUGUUUCGGUAGCGAGGCGUUAUCUACAGAAGAAGCACCGGCUAACUCCGUGCCAGCAGCCGCGGGAAUUC